rfam:Schistosoma mattheei strain Denwood, Zambia genome assembly, scaffold: SMTD_contig0000524
CUGCUGAGGAGUCCCACAAUAGGACGAAACGGCCGUCCAGUGC